GCACUAGUGUGGAGUCCCACAAUAGGACGAAACGGCCGUCCAGUGC
rnacentral:hammerhead_ribozyme from 1 species